ACAGAAAAGAAAAAAAAAACUGUAUUAAUUCAGAGGUCAGGGUUCCCUGCUUUCCUUCCCCACAAAUAAGCCCAUGCCAUUGUCUCAAAGUAAUGUGCACGAUCAGACUAACCUUGCAAACCGCUCUGCAAAGGUGAGCAGCCCGCAGAUUAAAUGCCGGUUUAUCUUGUCUAAUCAACUGCUACCACCAAGGAAUUUGCUUCAACUCAAAGGCAUCAACUACAGUCGUGGCCAAAAUGGUGGAAACCUUUUGGGAAAAGUGUGCAGUAGAAAUGCCACCUUUGGUUAAGUUUCCACCCAUUUUUCUUCUCAUUUCUUUAUAACCAUAGCCUUGUUCACUUCAUAAUGCUAUUUUACAUCGCUUUCUGGACGACCGGUCAACUCUCUGCACCGUGACUUUAAUUUUAUUAAAGCAAGCUCACUCAAUGAAAGAACACAAAAAAAAAAAAACCCAGCCAACUUGAUAGCGAUCCCAUAACACACUGACAAAUGUCCUCCUCUCAGCUUCAAUACAGGACACCAAUCACUGGAUCCUACCGUGAUCUGAUUGGCUCAUGGCCAAAACAAGAUGGCACCCGAUUGGUUCUCUAAACACUCAUCCCCAUUGGCUACAAUCAGAGGAAGGAAAGCUACCUGAGAUCCACCUACGCAAGUUGUGCUUCCCUUUUCUGGUUAUUUGGCUAUAAUAGUUUCUUGGAAGGAAGCGAGUAGGCAAUGAAGAAAUCAUCCUCUGUCCUAUGAGUUUGAACUUUGAAGCUUCACAGGGGAGCCAGUUUGGUCUAAUGGUUACAGCACCAGACUAGAAAAUGGAAGAUGGUAAGUUCCAGUCCCACCCUGGACACAAAAGUCAGCUGAAUGACUUUGAACCAGCUACUCUUUCAGGCCAACCCACCACACAGGGUUGUUCUGGUGGGGAAAACUGAAGGAAGGUGUAUUAGCCAUGUUAAAUCCAUUCACUGAAUGUAUUUAAAACAAAAGCACACAACUUUUUCUGUCCACAGAGCUUUUGGAUGACCAAAAUCUAAGAUCUGCAAUCCAAGAAAUAAAGUCUAGGACAAAAACUACUUAAAUGUGAGUCCUAUCCGGGCUUGUAUUUAAUCAGGUCACCUUUCACUUAAACAUUUUAAUUUGUUAGCCAUCUGUAUAUCUCAGAAUCCAUACAGUUGCUCCAUGACCUCUCCUGGGACAAUGGCCACAAUUCUAGCAAAAAGAGAAAUAUUUUAUAUUUCCUUUUACUUUUCUAAAUCCAGAUUAGGGGGGGCUUUAUAUAGUCUUUCAAUAAGAUCCACAUCCCAGCAAACAGGAUGUGAUAUUUACACAAGCAAAGUAGUUCGCGUCUCCAUAAACUAUUCUGCCACCGCUUAUUAAAUAUAGUUUGUGAGCAAAAGGAAGUGCCGUUCUAAACUUGGACAGACCUACUGAAUGAUAGCUCUCUUCUGGCACUUGACGAGUCCCUCCUUCCCACUCUGAUACACAUUUUGAACUGUGGACCAAACUGGCUUCCAACAGCAAUCUAGGAAAAAGAUGUCCUAGGUAACAAGAAUGAAAAGUACUGGCAGUGCUGCUGCAGCCACCUUGAACUGCAAUAAAAAUUGGCUUCUGUUCGUAAGAAUGACCUACGGAGGAUCUCUCCAGAACAGUCAAUCUGCUUCCUGAAAUUGCCAACACUUCCAGAGUAUCCAAGGCUAGUAAUUUAGUUCACUUUUUAGUAGGCUGUAAUAGCAGGCUUCAGGGCUUUCUAAAAUGGUUAAAGAUGUUGGUAUCUCCUUCCAGAUACUUAGAAAAGCAAGACUUGCUGUAAACCACGCAAGCUAAAUGCAUUUCAUGUCUUAACAGAAAAAGAAGUUGCUACGGCUGAGCUGAUAAUUUCAUUUAUUUUACAAUAUUUAUAGCCCACUCUAAUCCUAGCCAAUCUGGGCAGGGUGAAACACUGUUCAAAAUUGGGAGGGGGGGAGAGUCCACCGAGAGUCCAGCUUUUUACCCCCCUCUUGAAAAACAAAACACCAAUUCUCAAUGAGUACGGGAUCUGAGGAUAGAGUAGGUCCAAGCGACAUUUCUAUAAAUGGAAAGGGCGGGGAAAAGAGCAAGCAGAACUUAGCCUUGGAGAAGCUAAGACCGAAUGUCCAUCGUUAAUUAUUGAAUAGAAAGAACACUUUCACCACCGCAGACUGUAAAGGAUCCCCUUCUGGGAUUGUUUUCAUGAAGUUCCUGCCACUUAAGCGCUUGCAUUUGCUUAAGUGGCAGGAAUGAUAAUGUCUCUUCUGAAGAUGCAAAGAGAAAUGUUUUCUUUUCAUAAAUUCCUGAAUUUAUGUAAAUUUAAAGUCAAAGUAAAGUAAAAGAACUCCAUGAUGCAGAAUAAGAACAGUAAAAUUGCGCUCCUACCACGGACGCCAAAUACUUCCACGUAUGUUUUCACAUGUUGAUUAUACUGUAACGUACUCUUCAUUUUUUUUUUCAAUUCACCUACAGCCGUGGUUAAGAAGAGAAACGCUUCUGUGUUGUUUAAAUAAUGUUUUGGUUAUUUGUUGAGGAAAGACUUGUCAAAACAGAUAAGCUUAUUGCUACACAUAAAAACCUCUUUAGUGAUUAAAGUGAUAGUUUCCCUAUCGCUACAAGAGCCAGUUUGCUGCCUAAUAGUAUGCCAUGCGUGUCUCUGCUUUGGUACCAAAUAAAAUUAUUCUAGUAUCGCCUCGAAACAUCUGAGCUAACAAUUGCUGCAUAAUGUACACACCUACCUUCUGAAAUUGAAAUCUACAUCAAUCACAGAAAAAUAAUUAUUCAUUAAGGUUGUAUCAGGCAAGAAUACUUUUUUUUACUAAGUAGACGAUUAAAUAGAAUCCUUCCGACAGUGACUUAAAUCACUAACAUUGAGUUUUCCUGAACAGGGCUUUAAGCCAUGAUCUCAAUCAAUUUUGCUUAAAUUAAGUCUUUCUCCCAUAGGAUAAUGCCCAAAUGCCAACACGGCUAAGCUCUUCUGAAAAGCUGGCAUUGGAUGGGAUGGUUCUCCUUCUCACAAGACACCUAAUAAUGAAUUGUAAGGAAAAGAACACUUCCUGCUUGCCUUUCUGAAGAAACAGACAAGACAAAAUGUUAUCAAGGAAAAAAGAAGAAACUAACUUCCCUGCCACCCAAAAAAAGGCCAGGGGGGGAGAGAGACAGACUACAAAUAACAGAAUGACAAUCAAUGUCGUAAGGCGCUACUGAGGCCCUGAAGUCCAAUCCUUUGUUCAGGCAUGAACCACAUCAAAGCAUCCCCCACAGAUUGCUGUCCAGCCUCUGCCUAAAUAUGCCCAGCAAAGGUGGUCAACCUCUGGCUAAGUGGCAUCUUGUGUUUCUGUUUAGUUUUUUUCACCCCAGCCCAGUUUCGAGGUCUGGUACUCUGCCAGUGGGUACUGGACGGCUAGUUAAUGCCCAAAUAAUGGAACAUGGCAUUAACAUCUCUCCAUUUCUAUCCCACUAUUUGCAAUGUUUUUUCUCUUUGUAUUAUUUUAUGGUACUGUUUGUCAUAUUUAACCAUCACCCCCAUACAUAUCAUUUGAAUACAGUGGUAUUUCUAAACUGCUUACUGGCGAUUAUUAGCAUUCUGAUGGUUAGAUAACCUAAACCCUUUAAAGAUGAAGAAAAAAUAGACACACCAGUAUUAACUAUGAUUUCACAACUAAAGCUAAGCCCUCAGUUGCAAUUUAACUCAGCUGCAUAACUAGGCCCAUAUUGAUCACCUCUAUGUUAAUCAUUUAUCUGCAGGAAGUAAGAACAGCCAACUUUCUGCUCAUACAUUACAAAAAUAUCUUUCUGCAUGAUUGCCCAGGGAGAAUUACUGUUUCUUCUUGGGGUCCCGAAUACCUGUUUGCAAGCACUAUUUCUCCACCAAACAAGCCCCAACCUUUCUGAAGCAUUUACAUUGGGUGCCUUCACACAAAUAGAGUGAGCCCAUAGCAAGACUCCUUUUGGAAAAUAUCUAGGAAUUCAGGUUAUCUAAAGUGCUAGGGCAGGGGUCUUCAAACUUGGCCCUUUUAUGACUUGUGGACUUCAACUCGCAGAAUUCCUCAGCCAGGAAUUGAAGAAUUGGGAGCUCAAGUCCACAAGUCGUAAAAGGGCCAAGUUUGAAGACCCCUGUGCUAGGGAGAAGCAAUUGCCAAAAGCUCCUCAUCCUGUUGCAGCCAUUACAACGUCCUCUUAGUUGUUUCAGGAUCUGCAGACAGUAUUGGAAGGCUCUCUUCCAUUUAAGACUGAGAAUCCAAGAAAUCCACCCUGUCUAUUCCAAGCUGUUUAGUCAGAACGAGGGAACGACAUUUUUCAGCUGUUCUUCCCAGGUUUGGGGGGGUCACCUUUGCAAGAAUAUCAUAUCUGCAUAAAUCACAAUAACUUUAGACAGGCGUUUGUUUGUUUUUUUAAAGAAGGUACCUUAUUGCCCUUUUUAAAAAAUGUAACCAUACUGGUUUUCAUAAAUAUACAAAUAAAGUGAGGUUUGAAGAUUAGCUCCCCCCUUUAUUUUACUUAUGUGCUGCAGUGAUCCAAUAUCUUUGUAACUGAGUGGCAUGUAAAUUGUAUAAACAAACAGAAAAAUGAAACUUAAAAAUACAAUUCGGUUACAUCAAACCAAACUAUACAUUAAGGAAAAAGAAAAGCUUAAUGCACAAAAACAUUUAACAUAUAGUCUGUUUAAAAAAAUGGAAAAAUUAAUAGUCAGAAAAAA